rnacentral:rRNA from 1 species
UACACUCCUACGGGAGGCAGCAGUGGGGAAUAUUGGACAAUGGGCGCAAGCCUGAUCCAGCCAUGCCGCGUGAGUGAUGAAGGCCCUAGGGUUGUAAAGCUCUUUCACCGGAGAAGAUAAUGACGGUAUCCGGAGAAGAAGCCCCGGCUAACUUCGUGCCAGCAGCCGCGGUAAUACGAAGGGGGCUAGCGUUGUUCGGAAUUACUGGGCGUAAAGCGCACGUAGGCGGAUCGAUCAGUCAGGGGUGAAAUCCCAGGGCUCAACCCUGGAACUGCCUUUGAUACUGUCGAUCUGGAGUAUGGAAGAGGUGAGUGGAAUUCCGGGUGUAGAGGUGAAAUUCGUAGAUAUUCGGAGGAACACCAGUGGCGAAGGCGGCUCACUGGUCCAUUACUGACGCUGAGGUGCGAAAGCGUGGGGAGCAAACAGGAUUAGAUACCCCGGUAGUCCCAUG